AAGGUGAAUCCUUCUUUCAAAUGAAAGAAAUACCCAAGCUCCCAUGGCCAAUAAGAUGAAAGAUCCAUCGAACUCUCUUUUUCUUACUAAAAUCUGCUCCCAAUCUUCCUCAGUUAUGGAAUCCAGCAUUUACAAUCUAUAAUUUUUUAGAUUUUUAUUGUUUUAGCAACUAUGUAGGCAACGACAGUGACUCUCCAUCUAAUUUAAACAUGAGUGUGCUGUCACAAACACCAAAAAAUCCACCAUCAAACAAUAAAGCCGUUCGGUAUUCUGUAUCCAUUUGUCCAUUAUUUAUGCGC
rnacentral:lncRNA from 1 species